ensembl:miRNA
AGCCUUCCAGGAGUAAUGGAGACCCUAUACAUACCUGUUUCCAUGCCUCCUAGAAGUUUC